rnacentral:rRNA from 1 species
UGCAGUCGAGCGGUAAGCACAGAGAGCUUGCUCUCGGGUGACGAGCGGCGGACGGGUGAGUAAUGUCUGGGAAACUGCCUGAUGGAGGGGGAUAACUACUGGAAACGGUAGCUAAUACCGCAUAACGUCGCAAGACCAAAGUGGGGGACCUUCGGGCCUCAUGCCAUCAGAUGUGCCCAGAUGGGAUUAGCUAGUAGGUGGGGUAACGGCUCACCUAGGCGACGAUCCCUAGCUGGUCUGAGAGGAUGACCAGCCACACUGGAACUGAGACACGGUCCAGACUCCUACGGGAGGCAGCAGUGGGGAAUAUUGCACAAUGGGCGCAAGCCUGAUGCAGCCAUGCCGCGUGUGUGAAGAAGGCCUUCGGG